rfam:Fomitopsis pinicola FP-58527 SS1 unplaced genomic scaffold FOMPIscaffold_54, whole genome shotgun sequence.
GCCCGCCUAGCUCAAUCGGAUAGAGCGUCAGACUCUUAUCAAUUGUCCCUUGGGCGGUGCAAUCUGAAGGCUGCGAGUUCGACCCUCGCGGUGGGCU